GGCAGCUAUUUGAUCAAACGAUAAUCUCGGCUUACCACGAGAAUCCUGUUGGUUACCACCCGAAUUGCUAAGAUCAUCCAUUACAAUAUUGCCAAACCCUAGCAUCCGACACUAGAGAUUCAGCAAAACGUAUGCCGGCUGACCCAAUCAAAACAAUCAAACCCGUAGCCGCCGUCAAGCUGAAAUACGAACAAAACCAACCCUAGACUGAAUUAACGUUGAAAAAGGAUUACCGAAUCAGAAGAAGGCAGCCGUGACCCCUAGCCGCCGUCAAUCUUAAUCUGAAGCGCCGCAAACCCUAAACUGAAACGGACAAUGAGUUGAUCUUGCUGAAACCCUGAUGCAAAUCGGCAAUCCAAAGAAAGACGAUUAGGAAUGAGCAAAAUAGGGCUUCCAUGGUGGUGACUAAUGAUGAGAUUCAACUCAAAAAGUUAACUGAAACCUAAAGGUUAUAUGGUGGAGGUGGAGCAACUUGCUGAAAUUAAACAAAAACAAGAAGAUAAAUUAGCUGCAAGAUUACAUUCUUUUAGCCUUGCUAGUUUCUCUUCGUCAACCGUCUAUGUUUUGGGUAUUGGUUCGACCUGUAGAACAAUUGAUCAAAAAUAAACCACCUAAGAAUAUGUCCUCUCUUCUGCUGCUAUGGUUAUUUGACUGCAAUCUCCACUUAUGCAUGUUCAUUAUUACAAGACUAAAGGUACUAUCAUGACAAUCUCUAUUGAUUAGAUUUCUAUAUCUUUUUCUUAUGAUUGAUAUUGAUCUAUUAUAUAUAAUAAAUGAAAGUUUUUAGGGCUGAUGUGUCAUCGUUUUAGAGCUUCUUAGAUGCUUUUUGGCGGGAAAAUGUGUGGAUAUCUUUUAUGCUAAUAUGGGUUACACAGGAUCCGGAUUCUUGACCCGACUAUAUAUUGUUUUAAAUCACGAGCUAGGGUUUUGCUUCUCACUGCAAACACGAAUAAAAAAAUCCUAUCCCAAUCAUCUUCUCUAUGACAAACCCAUACCACGCACAACCCUUCGAUCAUUUGUGUUCUUCCUUCAAUACUCUCGGCGCCGCUAAUCUUCGAUCAACCAGGUUGAGGAUUUGCAGUUGUCUGUGUAUGUAAUCUACACAAUGUUGGUUAGUUUUUUUUUUUUUUAAUUUCGCUGAUACACUGUUUCACUCGACCUUCAUUCCCUGGAUCUCAUCAUCUGCUAUUUGUCUCCAAUCUAAUUAUCCAGGCUGGAUUUUGAAGGGGAUCCUAACAAAGGGAUUCUUUCAAGUUCGUCAAUUUUGAAUGAAAGUAAUAUAUCUAAUUUCUUGUCAGCAGAAAAAGAGAUGCAAGUUGAUUCUCUUAUUUGAUCUAAGCAUGGUGAAAAAAAGAAAUGUCUUUCUGUCUAAUAAGCAAAUCACUUAAAGGUAAAGACGGGUCGCAUGGGUUGAUCAAAAGUCCUGUUGUCUACAACUGUUGCUACAACCAAAAGGCCAAGGGAAGUUUAUGCGUGUGGCAGAGGAUCCAAAGAUUUCAUUUGCGCCAUCCUUUGUUCAAAUAAUUUUCACCAAAAUAAUUUUCACGAUUCCUUUAUUUUGGUGAAAAGUAGUUAACUUAAGCCUAGUUUGGUUUCCUCAUGAGUGUUACAAUUACGUUUAGUGUUAACAGUAAUUGUUGUAAAUUAAUGUAAGACGUCACGUAUUUUUCUAAUCUGGAGAAUUAGUUUGCAUCUGUUUUCUUGGAAACCGAGGGUUAUAGUUAUAUGAACCAUGCCUCUAAUAUGUUUUACAGAUUGUUGCUAUGAAAUAUACAGCUGUACUGUAUGUUAUUUUUAUGAAGUUUUUGUGCUUCCUAACUUUUCAUUGUUGUUUCGGUGAAGCUGGGAACUGAUGGUGCUUCUCAGCUGUCUAUGGCUUCAAGGCAUUCAGCCUUAUUGGGUAGCCGUUCAUCUGCUAGAGCUCAUUAUGGUGGUCAAUAUACUUCACAUGACAGUGUUCUGCAGGUCAGUGAACUAUUUGAUCAGUAAAAUGAGUUUUAGGGGCUGUUUGGCAACUUCUGAAUGAGUAAAUGUAAUUUGCCAUUUUAAAACUUUUGGUAAGUAGACCUCAAUUACUUUGCUAUAAAAAUGUGGGUCUGGUGUAAGGCAUUUUAGUAAAGUGAGUGUACAUACCACAUGGCUCACUUCUAUAAUUGUUUGUAAAUUACUUAUGCCAUUUUACAACUUAUUUUUUAAUUUAACCGUAUAAACUUUGGGUUUGUGUCAAAAGUAAGAACUUAAUACGUUAUUAUAAAUAUAAGUUUUUCUUUCAGGUUUGGCUAAAGCAUAUAACUAUCUUGCCGGCAUAUAUACUCAUGUGCUUGGAUUUUUGGAGUUGGCUUUUUGUUAAUAUUUUAUUUUGAGUGAAGAUAUAGAAGAAGUUGAAGCUGCUAAUAGAGUUGUUGUUGAAAGUUUCCAUAAAAUUUCAGCCUUUUGGUUAAACCAUAAGAUCAAACUCAAUACAAAAACUUGAUGGUCCAAAUAGGUGAGGAAUAAUGCUUAAAUUACUACUAUUAGCAAGCUUGGUUCUUGAUCAGGUUUGAGGUUUGAGACUGGACUGGUUCUAAACCAAAACUAGACCAGCACUAAACUGUUAUUGGGUUCAAUUCGCGGUUAUACAGUUUGGCCCGGUUCUGUUUUGCACCAAUAGACACUCUAACCUAUUGACUCUACAAUCCAAAACAAUUUGCAAUUCUUUUUACAGUCGAACUAAUAUCAUGAAGCAUAUAUUAUUCAGGUAAUAGGAAGAACAAGGGGGAUAUGUAGCUCCAGAAUACGUUCAAACUGGAUGUCUAAUGAUCAAGAUUGGUGUGUCAGUUAGAUGCAGCAAAGGACAUCAAGGUGCUGUUUAUUUUUUCUGAGGUAAAACGUCUGUAGUCUGCGGACCACAUCUGCAGACAUCUGUGGCAGAAGUGCUGGACCAAAUGUCUGCAAUCUGCAAGAAGAAGACUGUUUGUUUUUUUACUUCUGCAAACUGCUGAAAUAAGCUAAAAUAUAAAUAAACUGAUUAUUAAAGUUAUAAGAGUUUUUCAACAUUCAAACUUAAUUAAUAGUUAUACAAUACUGAAAUAAUAUUCAUAAAAAAGAUAAUAACAUUUUUUUAAAUCAUUGUAUCCAUGCUUUGCAUUAACUGCUCAGCAAUCUCAUCUCGUAACUGAGUCAUAUAUUCCCGAUCCGAUGCAGUACCAUGUGCUUCAACCUCCUCUUCAUGAGCAUCAACGUGCACUAGCCUAUUAUGAACUGAAACAUUGGGUUGAUCGUAUUCUGUAAACAAUUCAUCGCUAAAACCCUCUUUCCUUAUAAAAUUAUGUAGCGCGAAACAUGCAAUGGUAAUGUUCCUUUGUGUAACCAAUGGAAACAGUGCCAUCCUCUUUAAAAUAGGGAAUCUUGCUUUCAAGACACCAAAAGCACGCUCAAUUACGUUCCGAAGUCUUGCAUGAGCAUGGUUAAAUUUCUCUUUAUUAGUCAAUG